rnacentral:rRNA from 1 species
UACGAAGGGGGCUAGCGUUGUUCGGAAUCACUGGGCGUAAAGCGCACGUAGGCGGAUCUUUAAGUCAGGGGUGAAAUCCCGGGGCUCAACCUCGGAACUGCCUUUGAUACUGGGGAUCUCGAGUCCGGGAGAGGUGAGUGGAACUGCGAGUGUAGAGGUGAAAUUCGUAGAUAUUCGCAAGAACACCAGUGGCGAAGGCGGCUCACUGGCCCGGAACUGACGCUGAGGUGCGAAAGCGUGGGAGCAACA